rnacentral:tRNA from 1 species
GUCAGGAUGGCCGAGUAGUCUAAGACACCAGACUUAAGGUAUCCGCUUCCGCUUUCGGGGUUACUGGUCGCCAGGUGGAGCCGUGGGUUCGAAUCCCACUUCUGACA